UACGUAGGGUGCAAGCGUUAAUCGGAAUUACUGGGCGUAAAGCGUGCGCAGGCGGUUUUGUAAGUCUGUCGUGAAAUCCCCGGGCUCAACCUGGGAAUUGCGAUGGAGACUGCAAGGCUAGAAUCUGGCAGAGGGGGGUAGAAUUCCACGUGUAGCAGUGAAAUGCGUAGAGAUGUGGAGGAACACCGAUGGCGAAGGCAGCCCCCUGGGCCUGCACUGACGCUCAUGCACGAAAGCGUGGGGAGCAAACAGG
rnacentral:rRNA from 1 species